CUACAUUUUCCGGUUGAGUGAACAGGUUAAUGUUUUUGGUGCAGGUCUCAUUUCCAAGUAACUAUAAGCCCUAUGUUCACCAAACUUGCAUGGAUGGUACAUCUUAGGAUGCAUACUACCAGACUUGCUUCGGAUGCUGAAUCUGACCUACAUUUUCUGGAUGAGUGAACAGGUUAAAGUUUUUGGGGCAGGAUUCAUUUCCAAGUUACAAUGAGCCUAUAAUGGCUAAACUUGCGUGGAUGAUACAUCUUAGGAUGCAUACUACCAGACUUGCUUCAGAUGCUGAAUCUGACCUACAUUUUCUGGAUGAGUGAACAGAUUAAAUUUUUAAGCAGGUUUCAUUUCUAAUUAACUAUUAGCCCUAUAUUGUGCAAACUCGCAUGGAUGAUACAUCUUAGGAUGCAUACUAAUGGACUUGCUCCGGAUGCUGAAUUCGACAUACAUUUUCCAGAUAAUGGACCAGGUAAAAAGUUAUGGGUGCAGGUCUAUCACCAAGAAACUAUAAGGCUUAAAUAAACCAAACUUGCCCAAAUGAUGCAUCAAGGGAUGAAAACUCUUAAACUUGCUUCAGAUGCUGGAUUUGAUCACAUUUUUGUGAUGAAGAACUAGAUUGAAGUUUUUAUAUAGGUCUAUUUCAAAGUAUCAGAUCAAAAUUUCAUAAAUGUUGCAUUUUUGGAUGUACACUUUUUGUUGGGUAAUUGUGUGACUUUGCCUUACUUAAAGGCAACAUUCGUUGAGGUGAGCUCUGUAAUCUCUGAUUACCUAUGUUUAUUCUCAGUCUCUGAUCAUGGAUUUAAUACAAAAAAAAAAAAGAAAUUAUGCAAAAUUGAUUUAAGAAUAAAAUUUAGAAAUUACAACAUA